UCAUUAGAGCAUGUUUACACGGUCACGCUAACAUUAAGCAGCGCUGUGAGAUCCAGUGUGAAGCUCUUGAAUUCAGCGAUGAACACAAAUGACUCGGCUGGGACUCGGGAUAGUAGAGUGUGUGGUUUUGGGAAGCAAAGACACAAACCUACCAUGAAUACGUCCAUUCACGUCCCAGUCUGAAUUUAUGACCUUCUAAAAACGUCCCGGCUUUAGUCAUGGAGUCAAGAGGAUGAACUGAACUGUAUAAAGCUGUUUGGAUUCAUUUAUAAACGGAAAUCAAUAAACAAAAAUGAGAAAAUGA